GCACACGAUCGAAAACCAAUUGUAAACUAAACAUGUAGAAAUCUAUUUAGUAGCUUGUUUGGACGAGGGUUCGAAUCCCUCCGGCUCCACGA
rnacentral:tmRNA from 1 species